CCAACACUCCUACGGGAGGCAGCAGUGGGGAAUAUUGCACAAUGGGGGAAACCCUGAUGCAGCCAUGCCGCGUGUGUGAAGAAGGCCUUCGGGUUGUAAAGCACUUUCAGUAGGGAGGAAGGUAGUGUAGUUAACACCUGCAUUAUUUGACGUUACCUACAGAAGAAGCACCGGCUAACUCCGUGCCAGCAGCCGCGGUAAUACGGAGGGUGCGAGCGUUAAUCGGAAUUACUGGGCGUAAAGCGCAUGCAGGCGGCCUGUUAAGUCAGAUGUGAAAGCCCGGGGCUUAACCUCGGAAUUGCAUUUGAAACUGGCAGGCUAGAGUCUUGUAGAGGGGGUAGAAUUUCAGGUGUAGCGGUGAAAUGCGUAGAGAUCUGAAGGAAUACCAGUGGCGAAGGCGGCCCCCUGGACAAAGACUGACGCUCAGAUGCGAAAGCGUGGGGAGCAAACAGGAUUAGAUACCCUGGUAG
rnacentral:rRNA from 1 species